rnacentral:rRNA from 1 species
UACGUAGGGUGCGAGCGUUGUCCGGAAUUAUUGGGCGUAAAGGGCUCGUAGGCGGUUUGUCGCGUCGGGAGUGAAAACCUCGGGCUUAACUCGGGGCUUGCUUUCGAUACGGGCAGACUAGAGGUAUGCAGGGGAGAACGGAAUUCCUGGUGUAGCGGUGAAAUGCGCAGAUAUCAGGAGGAACACCGGUGGCGAAGGCAGCUCGCUGGAACGGUACUGACGCUGAGGCGCGAAAGCGUGGGGAGCGAACAGG